GCUUGCUCCUUUGACGUUAGCGGCGGACGGGUGAGUAACACGUGGGUAACCUACCUAUAAGACUGGGAUAACUUCGGGAAACCGGAGCUAAUACCGGAUAACAUUUGGAACCGCAUGGUUCUAAAGUGAAAGAUGGUUUUGCUAUCACUUAUAGAUGGACCCGCGCCGUAUUAGCUAGUUGGUAAGGUAACGGCUUACCAAGGCGACGAUACGUAGCCGACCUGAGAGGGUGAUCGGCCACACUGGAACUGAGACACGGUCCAGACUCCUACGGGAGGCAGCAGUAGGGAAUCUUCCGCAAUGGGCGAAAGCCUGACGGAGCAACGCCGCGUGAGUGAUGAAGGGUUUCGGCUCGUAAAACUCUGUUAUUAGGGAAGAACAAACGUGUAAGUAACUGUGCACGUCUUGACGGUACCUAAUCAGAAAGCCACGGCUAACUACGUGCCAGCAGCCGCGGUAAUACGUAGGUGGCAAGCGUUAUCCGGAAUUAUUGGGCGUAAAGCGCGCGUAGGCGGUUUCUUAAGUCUGAUGUGAAAGCCCACGGCUCAACCGUGGAGGGUCAUUGGAAACUGGGAAACUUGAGUGCAGAAGAGGAAAGUGGAAUUCCAUGUGUAGCGGUGAAAUGCGCAGAGAUAUGGAGGAACACCAGUGGCGAAGGCGACUUUCUGGUCUGUAACUGACGCUGAUGUGCGAAAGCGUGGGGAUCAAACAGGAUUAGAUACCCUGGUAGUCCACGCCGUAAACGAUGAGUGCUAAGUGUUAGGGGGUUUCCGCCCCUUAGUGCUGCAGCUAACGCAUUAAGCACUCCGCCUGGGGAGUACGACCGCAAGGUUGAAACUCAAAGGAAUUGACGGGGACCCGCACAAGCGGUGGAGCAGGUGGUUUAAUUCGAAGCAACGCGAAGAACCUUACCAAAUCUUGACAUCCUUUGAAAACUCUAGAGAUAGAGCCUUCCCCUUCGGGGGACAAAGUGACAGGUGGUGCAUGGUUGUCGUCAGCUCGUGUCGUGAGAUGUUGGGUUAAGUCCCGCAACGAGCGCAACCCUUAAGCUUAGUUGCCAUCAUUAAGUUGGGCACUCUAGGUUGACUGCCGGUGACAAACCGGAGGAAGGUGGGGAUGACGUCAAAUCAUCAUGCCCCUUAUGAUUUGGGCUACACACGUGCUACAAUGGACAAUACAAAGGGCAGCUAAACCGCGAGGUCAUGCAAAUCCCAUAAAGUUGUUCUCAGUUCGGAUUGUAGUCUGCAACUCGACUACAUGAAGCUGGAAUCGCUAGUAAUCGUAGAUCAGCAUGCUACGGUGAAUACGUUCCCGGGUCUUGUACACACCGCCCGUCACACCACGAGAGUUUGUAACACCCGAAGCCGGUGGAGU
rnacentral:rRNA from 1 species